GAUUGUCACUGGCCAGCCUGAAAUUUGCUAAACCUGUGUGUAUUUGAUUCAAACAAUCAAGGUGAGCAAAUUUUCAGGUGUGUCGGAGAACAAUCGCAAUCAUCG
rnacentral:pre_miRNA from 1 species